UGGGGAAUUUUGCACAAUGGGGGAAACCCUGAUGCAGCGACGCCGCGUGAUUUAGAAGGCCUUCGGGUUGUAAAAAUCUUUUCUAUGGGAAGAAAAUGACAGUACCAUAGGAAUAAGGACCGGCUAAUUACGUGCCAGCAGCCGCGGUAAUACGUAAGGUCCGAGCGUUGUCCGGAAUCAUUGGGCGUAAAGGGUACGUAGGCGGGUAAGCAAGUUAGAAGUGAAAUCCUAUAGCUCAACUAUAGUAAGCUUUUAAAACUGCUCAUCUUGAGGUAUGGAAGGGAAAGUGGAAUUCCUAGUGUAGCGGUGAAAUGCGCAGAUAUUAGGAGGAAUACCGGUGGCGAAGGCGACUUUCUGGCCAUAACCUGACGCUGAGGUACGAAGGCGUGGGUAGCAAACAGG
rnacentral:rRNA from 1 species